rnacentral:rRNA from 1 species
GAUGAACGCUCGCGGCGUGCCUAAUACAUGCAAGUCGAGCGAACACACGAGGAGCUUGCUCCUCUGACGUUAGCGGCGGACGGGUGAGUAACACGUGGAUAACCUACCUAUAAGACUGGGAUAACUUCGGGAAACCGGAGCUAAUACCGGAUAAUAUAUUGAACCGCAUGGUUCAAUAGUGAAAGACGGUUUUGCUGUCACUUAUAGAUGGAUCCGCGCCGCAUUAGCUAGUUGGUAAGGUAACGGCUCACCAAGGCGACGAUGCGUAGCCGACCUGAGAGGGUGAUCGGCCACACUGGAACUGAGACACGGUCCAGACUCCUACGGGAGGCAGCAGUAGGGAGUCUUCCGCAAUGGGCGAAAGCCUGACGGAGCAACGCCGCGUGAGUGAUGAAGGUCUUCGGAUCGUAAAACUCUGUUAUUAGGGAAGAACAAAUGUGUAAGUAACUAUGCACGUCUUGACGGUACCUAAUCAGAAAGCCACGGCUAACUACGUG